rnacentral:rRNA from 1 species
AUUGAACGCUGGCGGCAUGCCUUACACAUGCAAGUCGAACGGUAACGGGCCUUCGGGUGCCGACGAGUGGCGAACGGGUGAGUAAAGUAUCGGAACGUACCUUUCAGUGGGGGAUAACGUAGCGAAAGUUACGCUAAUACCGCAUAUUCUGUGAGCAGGAAAGCAGGGGAUCGCAAGACCUUGUGCUGAUUGAGCGGCCGAUAUCAGAUUAGCUAGUUGGUGAGGUAAAGGCUCACCAAGGCGACGAUCUGUAGCGGGUCUGAGAGGAUGAUCCGCCACACUGGAACUGAGACACGGUCCAGACUCCUACGGGAGGCAGCAGUGGGGAAUUUUGGACAAUGGGGGCAACCCUGAUCCAGCCAUGCCGCGUGAGUGAAGAAGGCCUUCGGGUUGUAAAGCUCUUUCGGCCGGGAAGAAAUCGUAUCAGCUAAUACCUGGUGCGGAUGACGGUACCGGCAUAAGAAGCACCGGCUAACUACGUGCCAGCCGCCGCGGUAAGAC